GGGUUUGUUUUCUCUUCUUCUUGGCAUUUAAUGGCCGUAUCUGAUCGAAUCCUUUCAAGAUUUGACGGCAUCAUCGAAUCCUUCUCUACAUCGUCUUUUUUCUGUGCCCCCGGUGACCAGAUCGGACGAUGACGACCGAUUUUUGCUGCAAGUCAGCUCGAAAUCCCGUCAUAGGUCGAGGAAUCGGAGUUUCCUCCUUAGUUUGGCUUGUGCUGAGAAUAAUCGUACUUAAUCUGUGGUAUAUGCGACAACAUGUUCGAGAUUCAUAGGUAGUAGUGAUAUGAGGCGGUGCGAAGAACAUGGUUUUACCCAUCCAUGUGCGCGGGCCGAUGUCGGGAGCUUUCCACAGUGUGAUCUGGGUGAUGAGGUGGCCGGGCCUUCGGGAAGGAGCGUCGGUUGGCGUUGGUCGGGAUUCGGACCGGUUGACAGCUCCUCGCUGUGGGGUGAAUGGCGUCCUCGGGUUGAAUCCCUCGGCUCUCGCGGGUGAUUGUCCGUCAGCAAAGCAAAAAAAAAAAAAAAAAGGCCCUCGUCGGGUGGUCCCCGGCCGUGACCUCUCCGACGAGCAAGUCAGUUCCGAGAAGGGUUAAUAAGAGUUGUCCUCCUUUUUUUUCUCCCGCCAGUGCGGAGGACGGCCCGAGGUUUUUAUACUGCUGCAAGUGGGUCGAUCGUACACGGGUUGGCGUGAUGGACGCACCAGACAGUGCCUCGAUACAGAUUCUGUCUUGGCGUGUGGGGAUGGUGUCGUCCCGGGUUUACCGGGACGAGAUGUGUCAAGCGACGCCUUGGGGUAUGGAUUCUGACGUGGCGCGUGGCAUCGACUGUGACGUGUCCGGGGGGCAAAAUAUACCUUAUCACUUCUCCCCCCCGGUCAAGGUGAUUGCCCCGCGCCUUGAGAAGGGUCGAGACUGCUGAUCGGGCGGUCGAGCCGAACGAGGAGAGGUCGUCGUGCCGUAGGUCGUGUAAUUGGUUUGGCGUGACUCGGAGUUACGGACGACGAGUUGCAAGUCGGAGACCGAGCUGGAGCGGCUCGGGCAAGGGGCUAGCAGAGACGUGACUCGGGCGUCGGAUGUGGCCGAGAUGUGAGUCAGGAAUAAAUCUGAAGCGACACGGGUGAGGAAUCGGCUGGCGAGUUGUUAGUCGGUAAUCGAUCUGGAGCGACUUGGGCGAGGACUGGGCCGCGAGUCGCCAAUCGAGAAUCGAUAUGGAGUGACUCGGGCGAGGACUGGGAUAUGCAUGUGAUGCACAUGUGGAGUGGAAUCAUUUGUAAAGCAAGAAAUGACUAGGAGCAAUUCAUAUCUUAUCAAUGUUACUAUGUGAUGCAAAUAGUUAUGGAUUUUUGGCCCACAAAUCAUCUCUAGUGUCGACCAAAAGAAAAAUAACUCAUAUCUUUAUGUCACGUAGAGAUGCAUGCAUGCAUGCAUUUGUAAUUUGGCUUUCAGAUGCAUGCAUUCAAUUCUAACACUCAUUUGGCUUUCAGAUGCAUGCAUUCAAUUCUAACACUCAAAAGAAGAGACUAUGAUUAAUCAUACCAAUUGUAAAAAAAAAAAAGGUAAUACUCUGAUUAUUGCGAAGAAUUUGCAUUUAUUCGAAAUUAUUUUAAGAGGAGAUGUUAGUGUAUUGUUGGAAUAAGCUAACACUAAUCUUCGUUAACGAAUCAAAAGGGAAGCUUUACAUAAGUACGUACUACUACUCAACCAUGCAUGCAUGCAUAAGGUUAAUUUGUUAGAAUAUGUGGCCCUUUUAUAAUUGAAUAAGAUAUAUAAUAGAAUAACUAAUUGGGUUCCGUAGACCCUCUGCUCUCGCCUAUAAAAGGACAGGAUCUCUAGGGGUUGAGGGUGUGUUAGUGUGUUAGAGCGUCAUAACGUUGACACGUAUAGACGCACCUCUCCGUUGAGGGAUUCAGUUAUUCUCCUCGACUCUCUCCCCAAAACCCUCUCCCCAAAUCCAUCAAUCUGUGUGGAUCCUGUGAAAGGAUAGGAAGAGAGGAGAAAGGGUCUACUCUCCGCACUCCCUACAGAUUCCGCAGCGCGAUCGGAUUAAAGACGGAGCCUGCAGCAAUCUUGGAUUAAAGACGGUGCUUAGCAGAUCUACGGGAUCUCUGAACAUAUGGCAUUAAAAGAGAUGGAGGAUAAGGUGAAAUCCAUGAUGAAGCUCAUAGAACAGGAUGCAGAUUCCUUUACAAAGAAGGCAGAGUUGUAUUUCCAGAGCAGACCGGAGCUGGGUAACUUUGUUGAAGACACGCAUAAAGCUUAUAAAGCAUUGGCUCAUAGGUACGAUCGAAUAACAGGAGAACUGCAAAAGGCCAACCAGACCAUAGCGAUUGCUUUUCCUGAUCAGGUCAACUUUGAAAUGCAAGAUGAUGAGGAUGGUGGCUCUCCAAAGGCAAUCACUUCGAUAGAUCUCAGCAAAUUCCGUAAUCCAACGGAAGUCCCACAGUUCAUCUUCAGACAGAAAACAAAGAAAGAUCGCCCCACACCGAAGAAGCAACAUCACAGGAAGCUAAGUACUCAAAUCAGCAAAGAGAAGGCACAGGAAGAGAUAGACAGGCUUCAAAAGGAAAUUUUAGUGCUGCAGACUGAGAAGGAAUUCACCAAGAGCUCUUACAGGAGCACCUUUGCCCAGUAUCUAGACAUCGAGAAGCAAAUUACUGAGAUGCAUGAGGAAUUUUGCUGCUUGCAGGAUUAUUUCAGCGCAAGUGCAAUCGCUGAAGAUGGCGAAGCUCGUGCAAUGAUGGUAGCAUCAGCCAUUAAGUCUUGCGAGGAUAGCUUAGUUAACAUACAAGAACAACGGAAAGUUACGUCCAAAGAGGCAAGAAUUGAGUCAGAAAAAAUUAAAGAUGCUAAAUAGAAGCUGAAGGCUCUCAAGGGUGAGUCUGGUGAAUCAGAGAUUGAGACAACAGAGACCUCUGAUCAGAACAUGGAGCAGAACUCCACCUCCGUAAACACAGAAGAUAGUGUUCUGAAAGAGGAAAGGAUGGAAUUACAGUCAGUGUGCCUGAAAGUGAAGGAACAUUUUGAGAUGAGCUCUGAAACAUCAGUCAUGGAACUGGCAGAAAAGAUUGAUGAACAUAUAGUUUCGUCGCAGAAUGGUCAGAUAGAGAGAUUGAGAUCAGAGACAGCUGAGCUUAAUAGGCACCUACAAUGCAUGGAGGAGGACAAGGUGAUCCUAACUGGCGACUCCAAUACCUUUACUGAGACUUUUAAAGAAGCAGAAGAUGCAUUGCAAAGAAUUCAACAUCUUGAGAAUUGUCUAAAUAUUGAUGAAGAUGCCCUUCAAACACAAUUUUUAGAUGCCUGCCACAGUCUUAACAAUCUUUCUGAGAAGUUGCAGUCGCCUAAACAUCAAGAGCAUAGGAAAAACUUGCCGGAAUUGAGGCUCAUGGGCAAAUUACAAACGAACAAUGUUCAUGUUGGUGAAGUGCAAACACAACUUGAAGAGACAGAUGACAUUCCAGACUUGCAAAAUUUAUUGCUAAAUGGAUUAGAAGGCAGCCAAAAUGUCUUACUGACUGAGUACACAUCCAUUCUUCACAAUUACAAGGAUACCAAAAAUAGGCUUUCAGAAAUUGAGUAAAAAACCCAAGAAUAUCACUUAGAGACAAUGGCAGAAGUAAAUGAACUGAAAAAUGCCAAUGCCAUCAAAGAUGAAGAGAUUCAACUUCUCAAAGAGAUACUAAAUUCCUUUCAGACUUGUUUAAGUGUAAAUGCACCAAAAGACAUGGAGAUGUCUGGAUACCAAGUUGCUGGAGAUCUAGCCGAAACGAAAGUAGAAUUUCAUGAAAUAGAAACCGGGAGCUCUCAUGAAGGAGACAUCAAUGAGAUACAAAGUUCUUCAUUGCUCGAAGACAAAUUUAGAGCAGACAUUGAUACCCUACUAGAAGAGAACUUGGAUUUCUGGUUACGGUUCAGCACAUCAUACCAUCAAAUUCAAAAUUUUCAAACUACGUUUAAGAACCUCAAAUCUGAUAUUGAGAAAAACCAAGAAGGCAAUGUCGCUGUUAUGGCUCCUGCUGAGGAGGCCGUAAACCAGGAAUCACUUCUAGUUUGCAAGAGCUUAAGAGAAUCGAACACCGAGCUCCAGGUUUGGUUGGAAAAGAAUGCACUGUUAAAUGGAGACGAGAUAUCAAGAGUUUUAAAGGAAAGCGAGAGUGAAGAGGUGCAUCUCACUCCUUACCAGGCUGCUAAGUUCCAGGGAGAGGUGUUCAGCAUGCAACUAGAAAAUAACAAGGUUGCAAAGGAACUGCAAGCCGGUUUGGAUCAUGUGAUGGGGCUUCAGAUGGAGGUUGGCAGGACUUUGUCAAAACUUAAUGAGAACUUUAAGUUGUCCGGAUCAAGAAACCACCAGCAACACAACCAAUUUAGGCAACUAAUCACCAAAACUAUUCCCCUGAGGGCUUUCUUGUUUGGUACAAAGCCUAAGAAGCCUUCAAUGUUUUCAUGCAUGAAUCCAGCACUGCAGAAGCAGUACAGUGACUUAAGAUACGCUUUUCCUAGAUGAAAAUUUUCCCCUUUGGGUUUUCUCAUUGCCUUAUACUUCUGCUGGAAUUUGUAACGUAAGUUUCUGUCACCUUGUAAGUCGAUAUCUUGACUUGUAUGCAUAAAUCCAGCACUGCAUAAGCAGUGCAGUGAUUUAGGUCUGGUUUCGCUAGAUGGAAAAUUUCCCCUCAUGGUUGUCUCCUCUUAUUGUUGUAUUGGAACUUCUGCCAUCUUGUGAGCUAACACAUUGUUUCCUUUCAGUGGCAAAGGUAGAAUGCUCAUCUGUAGUCUUGGUAUCAAAACCAUAUUGUUAGUGAUAUCACAACUUUGGAUGACACUUGGAUACUA